UACGAAGGGGGCUAGCGUUACUCGGAAUCACUGGGCGUAAAGGGUGCGUAGGCGGGUCUUUAAGUCAGGGGUGAAAUCCUGGAGCUCAACUCCAGAACUGCCUUUGAUACUGAGGAUCUUGAGUUCGGGAGAGGUGAGUGGAACUGCGAGUGUAGAGGUGAAAUUCGUAGAUAUUCGCAAGAACACCAGUGGCGAAGGCGGCUCACUGGCCCGGUACUGACGCUGAGGUGCGAAAGCGUGGGGAGCAAACAGG
rnacentral:rRNA from 1 species